UACAGAGGUCUCAAGCGUUGUUCGGAUUCAUUGGGCGUAAAGGGCGCGUAGGCGGCGGGGUAAGUCUGGUGUGAAAUCUCGGAGCUCAACUCCGAAAUUGCACUGGAUACUGCUCUGCUUGAGGGUUGGAGAGGAGAUCGGAAUUCACGGUGUAGCAGUGAAAUGCGUAGAUAUCGUGAGGAAGACCAGUGGCGAAGGCAGAUCUCUGGACAAAUCCUGACGCUGAGGCGCGAAGGCUAGGGGAGCAAACGGG
rnacentral:rRNA from 1 species